rnacentral:lncRNA from 1 species
AUAUACUGAAUGUAGAUUUGUUUAAAUUUAGUUUGCAAAAACCAUUAUCCAAUCCAUGCUCUGUCUUUUUACUACUGGCCUUGUUCUUCCUAAUAGAUGAAUGCAUGGAAGGACUGUACAGAUGCUUACUUGUUCUUGAGGCAUGGCAUUCUGGACUAGGAGAGUCAAGUAGAAGGCCUGGAUAGUGUAAUAGUUAAAAAAUACUGAAACUGUCCCAAAAGGGAAGGAUGG